UGAGGAAUAUUGGUCAAUGGGCGGGAGCCUGAACCAGCCAAGUCGCGUGAGGGAAGACGGUCCCAUGGAUUGUAAACCUCUUUUGUCGGGGAGCAAAGAGGCCACGUGUGGUCAAAAGCGAGAGUACCCGAAGAAAAAGCAUCGGCUAACUCCGUGCCAGCAGCCGCGGUAAUACGGAGGAUGCGAGCGUUAUCCGGAUUUAUUGGGUUUAAAGGGUGCGUAGGCGGGACGGUAAGUCAGCGGUAAAAAUGCGGAGCUCAACUCCGUCGAGCCGUUGAAACUGCCGUUCUUGAGUGAGCGAGAAGUAUGCGGAAUGCGUGGUGUAGCGGUGAAAUGCAUAGAUAUCACGCAGAACUCCGAUUGCGAAGGCAGCAUACCGGCGCUCAACUGACGCUGAAGCACGAAGGCGUGGGUAUCGAACAGGAUUAGAUACCC
rnacentral:rRNA from 1 species